CCCUUAGAUGUUCUGGGCCGCACGCGCGCUACACUGAUGAACGCAACGAGACCACCUGUACCGAAAGGCAUGGGUAAACUUGUGAAAGUUCAUCGUGAUGGGGAUAGAUUAUUGCAAUUAUUAAUCUUCAACGAGGAAUUCCUAGUAAGCGCGAGUCAUCAGCUCGCGUUGAUUACGUCCCUGCCCUUUGUACACACCGUCCGUCGCUCCUACCGAUUGAAUGGUCCGGUGAAAUCUUCGGAUUGCUGGAUAGGACUUCAUUGACCUAUCUGCGAGAAGUUGCUUGAACCUUAUCAUUUAGAGGAAGGAGAAGUCGUAACA
rnacentral:rRNA from 1 species